UACGUAGGGUGCAAGCGUUAAUCGGAAUUACUGGGCGUAAAGCGUGCGCAGGCGGUUGUGCAAGACAGAUGUGAAAUCCCCGGGCUUAACCUGGGAAUUGCAUUUGUGACUGCACGGCUAGAGUGUGUCAGAGGGGGGUAGAAUUCCACGUGUAGCAGUGAAAUGCGUAGAUAUGUGGAGGAACACCGGGUGGCGAAGGCGGGUCUCUGGGCCGGAUACUGACGCUGGAGGAGCGGAAAGCGUGGGGAGCGAACCGGA
rnacentral:rRNA from 1 species